AACUGUGUAGAUGUGGCACUGAGGGAGAUGGUUAGUGGGCAUGGUGGGGAUGGAUGGACUAGAUGAUCUUAGCAGCCUUUUCCAAACAAUGAUUCUAUGAUUCACUGCUUAAUACAAAACAUCUUAAUCUAUUGCUCGGGGGGAAGGCUGAUAUCAGCUGACAGAGCUGGUCUGUGCUAUUCUGAGAAGACUAUUGUCAUCCUAGAAGGUUGCAAAGGGGCAAGGUUGAAUCAGCAGUUGGUUCUUUGGAAAAAAAAAAUGAUGAUUUGUGAAUGUUUUCUUACAUUAGGAGUGCUAGGAGACUGAGAUGGCAGCAAGAGAAGAGGCAAGUAAAAUGGAAAGGUCUUGAACACCUUUAAGUCCAUGCUCUCUUGUUCAUGCUCUUUUUAAUGAGCAGCAACUAAAAUUCCAGCACUUCCUCUGUAAAUCCUUUUGAUUUCGAAAUGAAUCACUCUCCACAGGUUUGCUGGGAACUUAGUCUUCUGUGCUUGCUUCACUCCUUUGCUGGUAGCAGUGCUGGUAGACUGGAGCAGCCAGACGUACUCCUACGAGAGCCACCUGCUCUGCUGCGAUCCUUGCUUUGCUAAAGCCACCAGCAUCUUCAUCUGUAGGGUAACUCCCUCAUGUCGGACUUGGCUCCUCUCUUAGAAGUGUAACAGUUUGCUGAGCCAUUUGGUUAAGCAGCUCUUAGUAGCAUUAGGGAAGCUGACACAUGCAGCUGGGGAGCAGACAGAUGUGUGUUCAAGUGGCAUGGCUGUGUGCCCUUUUGUGCAGUUAUUUUCUACCUUGCAUGGGCUUCUGGGGCAUGCACUGUGCAGCUGACAAAGCCCUUGAACAUUUAGCAUUGCCACAGAAGGUUUAGCAAGGAAAAUGUACUAGCCCAAGUCACAGGCUGAAAUGAGAUACUGUGGGAGAGGUGACUAUUAUGGUCCAGCACUUAUUAAAAACCAUUCUGAGACCUGCAAGGUAUUGUGCUGUGCUUGUUGGAUUUAAGACUGCCAGGCAGCAGCGAAGGUCACUUUGUGCCUUCCUCUUUAAAGCAAAUUGCUGCUGUUUCUAUUAACAAGGGAGCAGCAGUGCUGGCAAACUCGAGGCAAGUUAACCCCUGCCUCUCAUGAGGAGCCGGUCUGAUGGAUUCCCCUAGGAUGUGUGUGCGUGUUGAGAGCUGUAUACCAUGUAGGUGUCAAGCCCAAUCUGAGCUCCCUUGUCAUGAUGUGUUAGGGCAGCUGUCUGCUAUUUGUGUGACAGUGCACAUCUUUGCCAAUAAACUGCUUUUGCUCUGGGUUGUGCUGUGUCUGCGGGGCUACCGGGAAAGCUGCCAGGGAGAGAGUGACUGCUUGCACUGAGGUGUCUGGGCAGCACCUCUUGUAAUCCGUGUUCUGUGUGGCGUAUUGAUUGGGAUUGUGGAUGGGCCCUGAGGGAUGAACACCAACACCAAGUUCCAGAGCCUGACUUUUUAAUCAGCAACAGAUUUAGCAGCUGGGAGCAGCUGGGUAAUGUCUGCUUAGGAAAAAGCAAUUGCACCAGAUGAAGCCAAAAACAGUAAGGUGAUUAUUGCUUUAGCAGCUAUACGUAACUAAAUGUAGGAUAGAAAUGCCUAUGGCAGAACGGAGAGCACUUUGAAGUAAAGGUGUAGGGUUGGAAAAAGACCAACCCAGAAACAACAGGGAAGGUUAUCCUGUAACAAGCUGUGUAGCACUGAGGAUUACCCUUCCCUUGGUGAAACCAGGGAUCCCAAUACAGCUCUGUUCACCUUGACAGUGGUCGUGGUAGGUGACUUUCUACCUGCAAAAUAGAAAGCACCACUUACAGGUGUGAAGGAUGCUGAGCCGGGUCCAGAGGAAGACUUGAAAGAGUAUUCAUCUGCCAUAUUUAAGAAGACAGAAAACUGCAGAAGUUAUUCCCAAAGUGCUGUCUGUCUUCUAACUGCUGGCCAGCUCCUUUUGUGAAAAGAGAUGUUUAAAAUGAGAAAAGCACUACAUCAGAGUUGAGAAAAAGGAAAACCGGUCAAUGUCACCUUGGUAUCUGAUGAUCAAAGGAGUAAACCAAGUAAGGCCAGGACUGUCAGAGAACCAACGAGACAGUAGAAAAUGAAGGAACAACCAUAUUGCGCUCUACAGCUCCCUGAAAAGAGGUUAUAGCGAGACAAGAGCAAAGCCAAACAAGGGAGCAGCUAAGUACAUAGAACAUAUACUUUCAGCUGUUACCCAUCGUUUCUGGAUUUAGGCAAGUUAAAGUCAAGAACUGUUCUGUGGUGUUGGAUAAGAAGAAGGGUCCCAACUCUAUUAAUGUCUUCUCUGGUCCCAUCUAUGGCUUUACUCUGCAAAACUCUUUCUGUUCUGGAUUUGGGACUUCGACAACUACAGAAUCCUGUUGGUCUUUUCAUCCCUGUGCUGUUCAGUGGCCUCUACUGGAGGCAGCAGGAAGAACUCUGAUGCCUCUUCAAUUAAUUGCCAAAAUAUGUGGGAAAAGCAACAAAGAAGAUGUGAAGUCUGAAGAUCACUGCAGGGAGGAUGUGUUGAAUCUUACUAUAGACCUUGAAGGGAAAUCUGAACCUGCUCAGGAAUUAUGAGCUCUUGAACUCUGACUGAUCUCCUCCAGUAGAUUUGCUUUUAGAGAAUAUUGUUUGAGUUGUGAUAUUGGGUUUUGAAUGCUCUGUAGCUCAUCUAAAAAAACUGCUCAUCUGAGCGGACUGACAAUGUAUAUUUUGAAAUAAUGACUGGUCAAAGAGGAGUAUCAAUGCAUUUGAAGGAGCAAAGUGUGAAAGAUUUCAGCAGGAAGAAGCUUGAUCUCAGGAAAUUGAUGUAUUCCACGUUGGAUACUGCACUGCACCUCCAGUUUAGACAGAAGAGGAGUUGUGUUAGCAAAUGCUCAACCAAAUGUAAAAACAUUGCUAAAGUAAUGGACUCCAACAAAGAUCCGAUUUUACUUUGGGGAGAUAAAUGGUGACAUACUGGGAAGACCGUGCUGUGGAAGCGGUGAAGCUGAUACCUUUGUUCAGCGUCUUGCUUUUCUCUUUUCAUGCUAAGCAUACAGCUACAGAGCAGCACGACAUGCUGUGCUGUCCGUGCACAGCGUUAUCCGCCGUGCAGUGGGAGAAAAUUGAUCUUCAGAAAAGUGAAUUGGAGCUGCAGCUUUCCUGCUGUGGGAGAACCCAGGCUAUGUGGGACGUGUUCAGGCUUUUGUUGUUUUUGUUGUUGCCAUGAUAAAAGAAGAGCAGCAUUACAUGAAGGAAGUGCAGUUAAACCAGACUUGAGAAAUUCCAUGCUUUAAGAACAUGACAUCAAGAAACUUUUCCAAUUAUGCUUUGAAAUGGAUAGUGCUGCAGCAAGUUAAAAUGUUUGUAAAUAACUCUGUAGUUCUUUGGAAGAAUUUGAGGCCAUUCUUGAAAUUUCUGGGGUCAAAAAUAUUCACUCUACUCCAUCAAGGGCAUAUCAACACCACUGGCGUGCAAAUUGCCACCAACUCAGCCAUAUGUAUAAGCUUGUGUUGGCACAGUGCAGUUUACAGGAAUCACUCUGCAACUGCUGAGGCACAACUUGGUAGAAGUAAUGCUGCAUAUGGAAAACAAGGCUGUAAUUUCUGCUUAUACAGCAGUGGGUCUGAAAAACAAAUUUCCAACCCUCCUAAAGUGAAGUGGGUGUCAAACAAUGGGACUGUCAACAAUACUUUGACUGUAGUUGCUUACUUGAGGAAGCCCAUGGCUCAGAGAUGGCACAGUAAUGCAAGGCUGGCGCUCAGGAUGCAAAGGAAGAUUCAACAGGGAAAAGCAGAAAAAAAUAAAAAAUAAGCCUCUGUCUGGGGGCUGUCAGUCAUAGAUGCAAGAGAAAUAAAAAUAGAAGUUAAUGAUCUGAGAUUUCGUCUUGGGUUUGCAUGAUUCAAACAUGAGUCUUAUAAAAAAUCAACAGUUGUCAAACAGCUACAAAUGUUACCUGGGUAAUCAUUCAAGUAUACUAAGAUAUUUGAACUCUCCCUGUCCUCUGCCUCUGCUGAUGCUCUUUGCCUUGGUUUGUAUAUCAGUUAACCAAACUGGUUGCUUUAUUUGGCUUAUUCUCUGAAUUACUGUGUCAUGUGUGACUCUCUGUGCAUGCACCCCCACCAGCUGAUUAGUACAAGAGGGGAGAGAUACAAACAGGAGAAAGAAACCACAGCCUUUGCUGUUGGGUUUCUCUAAGCAUCCCAUGAUGCUCCUGGAAACUGCUGGCUGGCCUCUGAUAGUGGUGCUGGGCCAUCAGCCUCUAGCAGUGCUCUGAGUGCAGGGUUUGGUGGAGCAGCUCUCUGAGAAGUGCUGAGGCAGCCUUCUCAGACCUUGGGCCAACAGAACCCAGAUCCUGGAGGAAAUGUAGUUGUAUGCUCCAAGCCCCUUCAUUGAAUCUCAGCCCAUUCAUUAGCAAGGCAGGAGGUGAGGAACAACAAGUGUAGGGACCCCACAGGCUGGGCAGCAUGAACAUAGCAGAGACAAACCAGGUCUGAGGGACAGCAGUGACACUUCCUCACAGAUGGCCUGGAUAUGACCGAGUGCGCAGUAGAAGGGUGGGGAGUGCAAGUGAGAGUCUCUCAAUGAAGUUGAGAGUCUUGAUAGGUUGAGUAGAAGAUGGUGUUCAUCAAAUCAAGAGAGCUUUUCUGAAGAGGGUACUUUUGGGCUGAAAUGCUUAAAAAUAUGUCUUUCCUAGAAUGGAGCCCUUUUAGGUACAAAUUUCUGAGAAAAUGUGUGGUCUUUUCAAAUCUAACUUUGCCAGACAUUGAUUUCUUCUUUUUGUAAAGGCUCAGCAACAGAAACUGCUAUACUAAAUAUCAAAUUUCCGCUAGACCCAAACCAUUGGUAAAGGCAAAUGAAUGUCAAACAGUUAACAGAGUCUGAGCUGUUAAAUGAAAAGGAACUACUUGGUAAUUCAGAGCUGUGCUUGAGAGCUGCCUUGCAGAAUAGUUACGCAGCAAACAUAUCUUCUGAAAAAGCAAAGGCUAGCAUCCAACACAGAAGUGGAGAUACAUACCUAUUCUCAUCAAAACCCCAAAGGAAGAACCGAAUUCAAUAUUAUUUAGUCUACCAGCCAACUUUCAGUUCAUCUUAGAAAACCCACUUUCACAAUAUGUUUUCUUACAUCUGAAAAUAUAUAUCUGUCCUCUGACAGCCUCACUAGCACUUGUACUGUCUUGGAAAGGCAGAAAUCUUAAGAUGUUCAUUUUCUGAUAAGGAGAAUCCUUCAAACAAAAAGCAGAAAGGAAAGAAAGGAAAAAAAAAAAGUAAAUUCCACCCAAAAUGUACCCUAAGUCCAGAAAGACACAGGGCCAUGAUUAUUAAAUAUAGGUGUCCUGGUUUCGGCUGGGACAGAGUUUAUAUUCUCCACAGCAUCUGGUAUGAUGCUAUGUUUUGGCUUUAGGAGAAAAACACUGUUGAUAACACACCAGUGUUUUACUUGUUGCUGAGCAGUGCUGUACAGAACCAAGGACGUUCUGGUUUCUCAGCUCUUUAUGCUGUCUUGUCAGAUAGAGGGGGGGCACAGGGAGCUGGGAGGGGACAGAACCAGGAGAGCUGACGUAAACUGGCUAAAGGGAUAUUCCAUGCCACAUGACAUCAUGUAGAAAAACUAUAAAACUGAGGGGUUUGGUCAAGAAGGGCAGCCACUGCAUGGAGUCUUGCUGAUCUGUGGGUGGUGAGCUACUGCAUCAUACAUAAUUUGUUUUGUAAAUAGAUACACGUAAUUAUCAUUACUAUUAUUUCUCUCUCCCUUUUCUGUCUUAGUAAAUAGUUUUUAUCUAAACCCACAUGUUCUACUUCUUUUUUUCCCUGAUUCUCUCCCCCAUUCCACUGGGAGGGGAGGGAGUGGUCAAUAGGCUGUGUAGUGUUUAGUUGCCUGCUGGGUUAAACCACACCAAUAGGUCAAUCCAGGCAUAACCAGUCAGUAACACUAGGCAGAAAAGUGGAAAUUAGAAGAAGAGGGAGAGAGAAUCCUAGGUGGAUUGGCUAUAAAAAUGCCAGUGACGCCUGAAUUCAUUAAUUCAGGGAGGAAAGUAAAAAACUGAGGUGACCCUGUGUGGUUUAACAGGGUUAGAAAAAAAAAAUAAAAGCAAAUUAUAUAAAUGGUGGAGAUUUAUGUGAGAUUUAUGUUGGAAAGAGAAAGAAUUGCAGAUCUAAGUAAUCCGGGGUCUUCACUUGUUUCCAGUCCAGUUUUAAGGCUCAGAAGGGGCCAGAAACAUGACUUAUUCAAGGCUUUUGAGACAUGUAGUUACCACAGUUUCAUCAGUUCUUACUUAACACUCAACAUAGCUGCAAACCAAUGGCUAAAACAGAAAUGCCAGCAAAAAAAAAAAAGGCUUAUGGUGCCUGAUAGCUUGUAUCAACACAGUCAGCUGUGCCUGGAACUGAAAUGCUGUGCAAACAAAAUAAAAUAAUAAAACACAUUUUCCAUUUCUUGUGGUCAUCAGAAACGUACUGCUUUGAUGCAAAGGUGAGGUUUGGGCUCCUUGGCCACACAGGAAAUGUCUGUGGUGUGACAUUGUCACACAGCUGUCCAGAUAACAGAAUAUGAGAAGUUGGUUACUCACCAUCAACAGACAUUUAGGGGGACAGCAGGCAAUGGCUAAAGCUUUUGCAGAUAGUUUUGACUGGCAGACACCUGGAGGAACCAACAGGUGAAACUGAUGCCCUGCUGUCAGCUGUGAUAGCAGGAUGGUUUUAGCUAGCUUUAAUAAAGCCACCCAGGCAUACUUUGAAAGGUAGAGAGAUGCAUCACAGAUCUUGCGGUAGUAGCUACUGAUACAUGCUUCCAAACUACUUCCUUGACCUCAAAUUGGAGUGCGCAAGGUUUUUAUCUUGCCAGCUUACCCUGCAAUUUCUGCUAGCCUUCAGGAGGGAUCAGCUGGCACCUUGCAAAUGUUGAGCUUGCACACCAGCUGCAAGUCACUCGGCUACUCUCAGUGACUCACAUCCCUUCUGAGCAAUUCCAGUCCCUCUAGCAGUACUCUGCUUCUGUGAGCACAAAUGAGAGCUAGCUGAGGGAUUCUCCAUGAGGUGGUCAUGUCUGACCUUGCCUUAGACUUGAAGACAGGAUGGAGAGGCUGUGAGUGGUCAGUGGUCAUGCAGGGGGCUGCAGGUACUGAACUGAAGGAUGUGGAAGCCCAUUAUUCAGCCUGUCCCAAAGCAGUGAUGGGGAUGUCCCUUGGCUUUCCUUCAACGAUGUCUCCAAUCAGAAAUAUGGGGAAGAAAUGCAAUAAAGAGGAAGGAAGCGCUUCCUUGCCAAGCAGAAUGAAAUGUCUGUUGAAGAAGAUGCACAAGACAGUGAAGGUUUCUAUCAUCAGAUCUGUACUUGAUGUUACAAGGGACCCACAAGGCACAUAUGACAUUGUCGUGUGCAUGUCUGUUUUCCUUCCUUGGGAACGAAAUAUAGAGUAUUUCAUGAGAAGAAACAAUUUUUUCCUUUGGUGAGGUUUUUCAUAGAUAAGACACAUCUGAAAUGUCAAGAACACUAAACGCAUGCAUACUCUGUUAUUUAAAAUACUGAAUAAAUGGUAGAUGUAUGGAAGUAUUGUACACAUUGAUCACACAGCUUGAACUUUCUUUCUAGCAGAUUUCUUAGUUCAAGUCUCUAAAUGAGCCAAGAAACCUGCCAAAAAUACCUGAGUAAACUCAACUAGUUAAGAAACUUCUACACAAACAAAAGAUGCUUGCUAUUGUUAGGCAGUAUCUUGCUUCAAUUACUAUAUCCAGAAGUACGCUCACUUAGCUAUACAGCACUGGUGAGCUGUUACAACUAUGCAUUUCUCAGCGAGUAAUCCCGCAGUGUGGCUGGCAAGAAGUGCAGAAUGACUUCCUUUAGCACCCUCUUGUGCAUGCCUCAUAUUCAGGUGUAAAUGCACAGUUAAACCUUUUUUUCUUCUAAUGUGUAUACUCCUUGUGCAUUAACAAUAUAAUUGAACUGCUGGACUCUGAGCAGCCUUUAUUGGUACACCAGGUGAAGUGGUAACUACUUGCACCUGUAUUCCCUUUUUGGCUGUGGAUACACCUAUCAGUAUGUUUUUCAGCAAAGACUGCAUUGAAAGCCAAAGCUCAGUCCUCUUGAAAUAUAGCUUCAGAGGGAGGGAAGAUAAAUGAUCAUUUUUCUCCAAAAUGACUCAUUUCACACAAUUUGCGGUUUAGUAGAAAUGUAUUCAAAUGAGAGAGCCAUCAAUUAAAGAAGUCUACAUUCUUGCCUGUGGGCUAUACUAAGAUAGCUCCACUCUGUAUAAAAAUGUUAAUGUAUUUAGAUGUGACAGAAAGGAGGGAAAUUACAUUAAUUUUUGGCUGUGUUCUGUGAAGGUGCUAUACUAAUGCACAGUAAGACACAAACCCCAAACUAAACUUUCAGCCUUUGUUUAAAAAAAGAAAAAAGCCUCACUUCUUAAAAGAACUACUUUCAUCUUUUUCCACCCCUCACAGACAAUAUAUCUAAUGAAGCCUCAGCCCGAGCUUUUACCAUGAUGGCUUCAGAAGGUAGAACAAAUUAGAAAACAAAAUAACUUGUGUAAUGUUAGGGGUGCAUCUACAAUUUUUUAAAGCUAUUAGAGAAAUGAUCUUGCAAUAGUAAGGUAUCCUUCUGUUUGCAUAGUAAGGUAUUCUUCUCUGCUGCCACGACUUCAGAGCAAAUACAAUGAAGAGAUAAUCUAGUGAUGUAAUCCAUCAUAGCUAAACCCAAACAUAACUAAACUGUAGCCUUGAGGAGCACUUUAUGUUAUUCCUUACACUUUAGCUGGCAUUUGAAUAUAGCUCUUUCAGCACUGAGCUGGUAAUUAAAAAUAACAUCCCUACUAAUGGUUCAACAUUUUGCUUAAGGAAACAACCAACAUCCUCAACAUUUCCACCUAAUUGAGGAACUGAUGGAAUGUUUCUUAAUUUGGGUAAAUUUGGAAAAUCUAUGCUCUGUCUCCACAAGUUCUUCUUAUUCUCAGCUUACUGCAGCUAAAUAAAGAGUUUUCCCUACACCUCGGGGGAAGUCCUUUGGAGAUGACUCUCCUUGGGUGUCUGGCUUUGCUCUGUACAGGAUACAGCUGUGUUCCAGCAGCGUGUUAUGUGAGCACAUCAGAGAAAUGCUGUAGAUAAAUGGCAAGGAAGGACGUGUGUCUUUCUACAUAAGCCUCCUCUUACUUGGGAUGUAAAUGCUGCUUGGGAAGUACAAUAUCUCUGCUGUGUUUGGCUGACUGGUGAACAGAUCUUGGAUUGUAAGGAACCAAAUCACUUCUCUCAACUUCCUUGAGGACUCAAUGAGCACUUUUCAAUGCAGUGUCCUGACAUUUCCUGCCAGAGUUGCAGCCUCUGGAAUGCCCCAGGGAUGGAGCCAGGCAGGUGCCACCACCAGGUCAUAUAUGCUACUUCAACCUGCAUGCUGAUAAGCCACAUCUGUUUGUAUGGGUUAAAACCAUGUAGCUCACUGCUUCUCUUUGGGUGAGGUACAUACUGGAGGUGUCAGGAGCUUCAGACCCUUUAGCCCAAAAACCUUCCCUACAGAUUACACAGUCCUGUUACUUCAGCUGCUUCUUGUUUCUUGCCAGACCACCUGGCUGGGUUGUGCACUGAAAGAUUACUUGGAAAUUAAGUGUGAUGCACUCUCUCUCACCUUUAAGCCCUUGAAUGAUCCUCUUUUUUAAAGAGGAAUAAAUACACUUUUCACCCUUAGCAAAGGUGUUUGCUUAGAUUUGUUAUAGACCUUGGAAAUUCAGUACUUCUAUCAGCUGUCAUGACUACCUCAAGUAAGAAAAAAUUUUAAAAGCCUUUCUUAUUACUCAGUCAAUAGGGAUAUGAUCUCUGCUUGACCUGUACUUAAAUGCCGUGUACACAGAGCCAGAGGCAUACCAGUGAGAGGUCAGCAUGCCCUGCACUGGCAGUACCUGUAGUGCUCUUGGAUGGGAAUUUGUGAGCUGUGAAAUCAUUUAGGAAGAGAGCUAACACAAAUCUUGCUAAAGCUCUG